CGCAUCUGUGCAUGCAGCAUAUCAAUAAGCGGAGGAAAAGAAACUAACAAGGAUUCCCCUAGUAACGGCGAGUGAAGCGGGAAGAGCUCAAAUUUGAAAUCUUAAAGGGUUUCCCUUUACGAAUUGUAGUUUAAAGAAGUGUUUUCUGUUGAGGUUUUGGUAAAAGUUCUUUGGAAUAGGACAUCAUAGAGGGUGAGAAUCCCGUAUUUGACCUUUACUUUCAACUUUGUGAUACACUUUCAAAGAGUCGGAUUGUUUGGGAAUGCAGUCCAAAAUGGGUGGUAAAUUUCAUCUAAAGCUAAAUAUUGGCGAGAGACCGAUAGCGAACAAGUACCGUGAGGGAAAGAUGAAAAGAACUUUGAAGAGAGAGUUAAACAGUACGUGAAAUUGUCAAAAGGGAAGCGUUUGACACCAGUGUUGUUUUUCUGAAAAUCAAUUAAAGAACUGUUUAUGCUAAGCUGUUUAGACUUUAUCAGCUAUCUGUUUAGUUUUGAGCUUUUCUUUAAUGCACUUUUCAGUUAACAAGUCAACAUCAAUUUCUUUUGCUGUAAAAAAGCUUGAGGAAGGUGGCUUGAGAUUCGUCUUAAGUGUUUAUAGCCUCUUGCCUAUGCAGUCGGAGAGAUUGAGGUCUGCAGCGUAGAUCCUUCGGGGCUAAAUGCAUUUGUGCUAAGUUAUAGCAUUUUAUAGACAACUUGUUGACUAUGAUUUGUCUUGUAGCUUACUCGCUUAUGUUAUUUUACCUACGCUUAGGAUGUUGAAUCUGUGCGAGACUAC
rnacentral:rRNA from 1 species